rnacentral:piRNA from 1 species
UGGGGCACGAACGCAGGCAGACCCUGA